UGGCUACCUGCUUUCCGGCCU
rnacentral:misc_RNA from 1 species